rnacentral:rRNA from 1 species
GGACGAACGCUGGCGGCGUGCUAACACAUGCAAGUUGAACGGGACGGAUAUUGAAGCGACUUUCGGAGUGGUGGAUAUAUUGUUUAGUAGCGGACGGGUGAGUAAUGCAUGAGAACCUGCCCUUCAGAGGGGGACAACAGUUGGAAACGGCUGCUAAUACCCCAUAUGCCGAGAGGUGAAAGGAGCGAUCCGCUGAAGGAGAGGCUCAUGUCCUAUCAGCUAGUUGGUGAGGUAAGUGCUCACCAAGGCGAUGACGGGUAGCCGGCCUGAGAGGGCGACCGGCCACACUGGAACUGAGAUACGGUCCAGACUCCUACGGGAGGCAGCAGUGGGGAAUAUUGGGCAAUGGGGCCGGAAGCCUGACCCAGCGACGCCGCGUGAGGGAAGAAGGCCUUUGGGUCGUAAACCUCUGUUGUAUGGGAAGAAGGAAGUGACGGUACCAUACGAGGAAGUCCCGGCUAACUACGUGCCAGCCGCCGC